UAAAUAUUGUUGUUAUUGUCAUUAUUACAUAACUUAAUUCAGUCACUUCUCAUAAUACUCGACCUUGACCUGGUUUUCCCAUUGUUUUUAAUGAAAUCAGUUUAUAAAGAUUUUCGUUCCACUUAAGGCGCAAUAAUUAUUAUUCAUCGCCAGUUGCCUUUCAUUGUUCACGAGUUACGGUUAUAGUUUUCAACUUUUCAAAUUUAUUGCCAUUUAAAUUCUGCGAUAAAUCUGGAAAACCCCACUGCACCCGUGAGAACAUUUUUAUUUCAAACAGAACGCAUUCAUUCUUGGUCGUUUUUAGUUUCCUAACCAGCCACUCUUUUUAACCAGUUUUACCGCAUCUGACAGCAGGCGGAUGUUGCGAAACGAUAUUUAAGCGAGAUGUUUCGAAAAGAUUAAGGGAAAGUUAAGCUGUCUGCUAAAACUCUUCUUAACCACACUUCAGAUGGCUAAACAAAUAAGGGAAUUGCUCUCUUGAUGUUCUAGUUAAAAAAAAAAAACCGAUAUGAGGAGAUAUACGCCCACUACUAUCCAUUUUUAUUAAAUGUUUUGGUUAAAACAUUCAUUAAAUGGUUAUUGUGUGAUAUUUACGUAGGAUGUACAUUGCAAGUGAAAAUUAAUACCAAUGAUUUAAGGUGAAAUUCAAUUUGAGUCACCUGAAUUUAUUACUUGAAAUUUUUUUUAUAGAGUACUUAUUUAGCUGAUCAACUUACCGCUGCAUCUGGUCCGUGUGCAUUAGGUGUUGUAGGUGGUGGUGGCCGACUUGGAAAUCCUUGUUGAUGUCCAGGAGGAGGUUGAUGUUGUUGAUGGUUAUGUUGCUGAGGACUGGGUGGCAUUUGACCCCCAGGACCAGGACCAGGAGAAUGACUUAUAGGAGGUUGGGUGGGUUGGGGAGAGGGUUGACUCACAGGCACUGAACUGGAGUUAGAGUUUUGUUGAGGUUGCUGCGAGGUCGGCGGUUGGUUUUGGGAUUGUGGUGGUGCUGGUUGUGGCUGGCCGGGACUUCCUGGACCGUGUUGGGAGUGAGAUGAUCCUCCUGAGGGCGGUGGCGGACCACCCGGCCAGCUCGUCCGCGAAUCGUACCCACCCGGUGCCGAACUUGGGGCACCGCCAUAAAACUGCAAUGAAGUUAAAACAGUUAAUGGGCCUUUAAAAAAGUAAAACUCCUUUCACCGUCAUUCAUCAAAUAACUUCCCUUUUUUUUCUAUUUGAUUAUUUAAAUAACUGUGUUAAACUCUUUUAGAUUUUUUUUAAAGAAUUAUGUAAUCAAUAAUUUGUUAUUAGAAUUAAUCAAUGAUAUAUAAAGAUAUAUUUUUUUUGUAAAUUUUUAAAAAUUAUUGCUUAAUCUGUAAGUAGUUAUUUGGAAGCAUAUUAUUAGUCAAUGCUAUAAUGAUAUGUAUAUAUAUAGGUAUUAUUUAAUUUUUUAAUUUUUAUGUAAAAAUUGUUUUUUCAGUUGAAGUUUUGCUGAUGAUAUUGUCAUAGUAGUAAGUUGAAAAAAAUGUGAAAUAGCUAUAUCAAAAAUUAAAUAUUGAUAUGACUAUAACUUGCUUUCUUUGAAAGUAGAUAAAACUAAUUUUGUAACUUUUGCCUUGACUCAAAAUACUCUCCCAAAUAUCCAGAGUAUUACACUUCAUGAAUCAAAUUGUAUUAUAGACAUAAAUAACUGUAAAUGUGAAAAAGCAAUAAAAAGAAAAGAAAGUGUUAAAUAUUUGUGAAUUCAUAUUGAUGAAAAUCUGACUUAUAAGUUUAUAAACCCACCUAAUUCAUGUCACAAGAAAAAUAAGAAAAUUAAUGUAUAAAUACUAAGUUUUAUGAACUAAGAAAUAUGCUGGACAUUAUUACAUUACAAAUGGUAUAUUUUUCAUGGAUGAAAUCUAUUAUAAGCUAUGGUUUAAUUGUGUUGGGAAAUAAAAGAAUGUUAUGAAUGCUUUAUGUGUAGCUCAAAAAUAUGUCCUGAAAAUCAUGUAUUUUAGAAACAGAAGGUAUCCAACAAAAUUAUUAUUUAAAUAAAUUGAAAUACUAAAGUGAAUUACAUCAUAAAUUGAAUACCAGAAAUAGUGAGUGGCCAAAUAUUCUAAUACCAUCUGUAACAUCUGGUCUGGUCACAAAACUUUUUAAUGCUUUGCCUGUGGACCUCAGAGUAAAACCUUAUCACAGUCAAAAAGUCAUUGUGAAUUGGGUAAAAAAAUAGUGAUAACUAUCCUUAAAUCUUGGGGUAUUUAGCUUAGUAAUACAGUUUUAAAUAGAGAUUUAAUUGAAGGAAUAAUGUGAGCACACAGAGAAGACAUUUAAUGUCCAUUGUUUUUUAACUGUAUUAAUCAUAAGGCAUACUUUUAAUGUAUCAUGCUAUACAGUUUGUUCAAUAAAUUGAAAUUAAAAAACAUGUGUUAGGUUGUGUGCUGAGUUUAUGUAUUUCUUAGUUGUUUGGCAAAUUUAUUGUUUUUGUUUUUCUUUUUUCUAGACUAAAGAGUGCCUAAGUUAACUAAUGUGUUAGUGUUAAAUGGACUUAACCUCUUUAUGUAAAGCUACAUUCAAAUAUUGUAAACAUAUUAUUUUUUUUUAAAUAUACUUUAUUUGAUGUAGAGUU